CCUACGGGGGGCAGCAGUGAGGAAUAUUGGUCAAUGGGCGCUAGCCUGAACCAGCCAAGUAGCGUGCAGGAUGACUGCCCUAUGGGUUGUAAACUUCUUUUAUAUGGGAAUAAAGUGCAGUAUGUAUACUGCUUUGCAUGUACCUUAUGAAUAAGGAUCGGCUAACUCCGUGCCAGCAGCCGCGGUAAUACGGAGGAUCCGAGCGUUAUCCGGAUUUAUUGGGUUUAAAGGGAGCGUAGGCGGGAUGUUAAGUCAGUUGUGAAAGUUUGCGGCUCAACCGGAAAAUUGCAGUGGAUACUGGCAUGCUUGAGUACGGGAGAGGUAGGCGGAAUUCGUGGUGUAGCGGUGAAAUGCUUAGAUAGGACGAAGAACUCCGAUUGCGAAGGCAGCCUGCUGGACUGUAACUGACGCUGAUGCUCGAAAGUGUGGGUAUCGAACAGGAUUAGAUACCCUUGUAGUC
rnacentral:rRNA from 1 species